GAUGAACGCUGGCGGCGUGCCUAAUACAUGCAAGUCGAGCGAAUGGAUUAAGAGCUUGCUCUUAUGAAGUUAGCGGCGGACGGGUGAGUAACACGUGGGUAACCUGCCCAUAAGACUGGGAUAACUCCGGGAAACCGGGGCUAAUACCGGAUAACAUUUUGAACCGCAUGGUUCGAAAUUGAAAGGCGGCUUCGGCUGUCACUUAUGGAUGGACCCGCGUCGCAUUAGCUAGUUGGUGAGGUAACGGCUCACCAAGGCAACGAUGCGUAGCCGACCUGAGAGGGUGAUCGGCCAAACUGGGACUGGGACACGGCCCAGACUCCUACGGGAGGCAGCAGUAGGGAAUCUUCCGCAAUGGACGAAAGUCUGACGGAGCAACGCCGCGUGAGUGAAGAAGGCUUUCGGGUCGUAAAACUCUGUUGUUAGGGAAGAACAAGUGCUAGUUGAAUAAGCUGGCACCUUGACGGUACCUAACCAGAAAGCCACGGCUAACUACGUGCCAGCCGCCGCGGUAA
rnacentral:rRNA from 1 species